rnacentral:rRNA from 1 species
AAACAUAGCUUUUUGUAAUCAUAAUGAGUGGUGUCUGCCCGGUGACGAUAAGUUAAACGGCCGCGAAAGUGCUAAGGUAGCGUAAUAAUUUGCUUUUUUAUUGGAGGCUAGUAUGAAAGGCGUAACGAGGCUCAGCUGUCUUUUUUGUACAAAAAAAAAUUAAUUUGGAACUGAAAAAGGUUUCGUUUAACUGAAGGACGAGAAGACCCUAUAGAGUUUUAGUUAAUUACUUUUAUUGGGGCAAUAUAAGAAAAAAGAAAUUCUUUUCAAUAUGAUGGUUAGAUCCUUUAAAAGAUAAUAAAAAUAAACUACCUUAGGGAUAACAGCGUAAUUCUCCCAGAGAGUACUAAUUGAAGGGAGGGAUUGCGACCUCGAUGUUGGACUAAGAGAGCAUUAAGGUGCAGAAGCCUUAAAUGAAAGCCUGUUCGGCUUAUUUAUCUUACAUGAUCUGAGUUCAAACCGG